GAAACUCAAGCUAUGCUUGGUGUUGGGCGUCUGUCCGUAAGGACUCGCCCCAAAGGCAUUGGCAGCCCCGAGCUGACGUCGCGCCUUCGCAGCACAUUUGCGAGAGGAUGCGGUUGCUCGAGGCUUUCCAUGAAGACCACCCAUCAC
rnacentral:misc_RNA from 1 species